AUUGAACGCUGGCGGCAGGCCUAACACAUGCAAGUCGAGCGGAUGAAGGGAGCUUGCUCCUAGAUUCAGCGGCGGACGGGUGAGUAAUGCCUAGGAAUCUGCCUGGUAGUGGGGGAUAACGUCCGGAAACGGGCGCUAAUACCGCAUACGUCCUGAGGGAGAAAGUGGGGGAUCUUCGGACCUCACGCUAUCAGAUGAGCCUAGGUCGGAUUAGCUAGUUGGUGGGGUAAAGGCCUACCAAGGCGACGAUCCGUAACUGGUCUGAGAGGAUGAUCAGUCACACUGGAACUGAGACACGGUCCAGACUCCUACGGGAGGCAGCAGUGGGGAAUAUUGGACAAUGGGCGAAAGCCUGAUCCAGCCAUGCCGCGUGUGUGAAGAAGGUCUUCGGAUUGUAAAGCACUUUAAGUUGGGAGGAAGGGCAGUAAGUUAAUACCUUGCUGUUUGGACGUUACCAACAGAAUAAGCACCGGCUAACUUCGU
rnacentral:rRNA from 1 species